rnacentral:lncRNA from 1 species
GCUCGCCUUAUACUGCACAACAAAGCAACAUGAGGCUAAGCAUAUUGUAAUGCUGACUAAUAUAUCUUUAUCAACUAUGUCUUUCCCUUCUAUUUCAUUUUUUGUUCCAAACUUUUCUCAAAAAACCGUAUGGCUAUUAUGAGUAUUUAUGUUAUUUUUGGUAGAACCACAUUGCUACAUCCCGGGUUCCUUUAUCAACACAGGUAUCAACGAAUCACAGCCCGAGGCUACAUUCUUACCUUAGCAGAUUUGCAUCUAGCUGCACCACUUGCAACUUAGCUUCAACCAAACGCUGCAGAUAAAAGCAUCCAUAAAUAGAAGAUCCGGUUAGAUUGGGAACAUGCGUAAAACACAACUCGUGAGCAUGAAGAGUUGUCCAGAACAUCUAUAUUAUAGUGUAGCAGCAUUCAAAUCAGAGACAAGCUUGCUAAUGGAAAAGAAGGAAGGGAAAAGAAACAUGCAUGAACACCACAAAUUCUAAGAUGAGUAACUAAAUAUACCAAGGGACAUAACCUAAUGCUGCUAGCAAGAACUCGUGAAGUGAAGCUUCAUAUAUGAAAUAAGAUUUUUCUUCAAAACAAAUAAGCCAUGGCCGAUCAUCCAAAGAUGGGGAUGGCAAAAAGAUAACACUACUGAACUACGAUUGAUGAGAUAUUGGUAAAAAAAUAGCCAAAAACAUAGACGAUGGACGCGCCGACACUAAUCCGACGAUGGACGAGUCGGCCGGCGGCGGCGGCAACCCCCUGCCGACCACUGGCACGGACGGGUCAAAGCGCCGCGUCUGCUACUUCUACGACGCGGAGGUGGGCAACUAUUACUACGGGCAGGGCCACCCGAUGAAGCCGCACCGCAUCCGCAUGACCCACGCGUUGCUCGGCCGCUACGGCCUCCUCAACCAGAUGCAAGUGUUCCGCCCUCACCCUGCCCGCGACCUCUGUCGCUUCCACGCCGACGAUUACAUCUCCUUCCUCUGGUCCGUCACCCCCGAAACGCAGCAGGACCAGAUCCGCGCGCUCAAGCGCUUCAACAUCGGCGAGGACUGCCCCGUCUUCGACGGUCUCUACAGUUUCUGCCAGACGUACGUGGGGGGCUCCGUUGGCGGCUGGAAGUGAGCGAGGAUGGAAGGGGAGCGUGGCAUGGGGGCGACGAUGGAAGGCAGGGCUGUGACCUUGCAUACAACGGAAUCAGGGCGCCGAAGCGAGAUCUGCGGGCGUGGCUGGCGGGCGGAAUCAGACGGGCGCGACGCGUGGUGUGGGAGAGGGAAAUAGGAUUUUGGGGGCUGGGAAUGCCGGCUGCCGCUGCCGCAGAGGGGGACCUGAGCGGGGGGGGGGGGGGGGGGUGGAGGGCGUUGAUGGCGGCUCCGAUCACGGCUUCAAGGAGUAGAGCGAAGAGGAGGAUGUCGGGGGCAGAAUAUCACCCUGUAGACGUCUACGCUGCAUUCUUAAGAGACAGUAGAGAUAAGAAAUUUUCUUCAGGUGCGGCUAGAGCCCGCGCCCGCUGUUCCCACAGUCCCACUUCAUCCUCUCCCCGGCUCGGCAGCCGCUUCGACGAAUUAAUUAAUCAAUCGCUCACACACGACACAUGGGAACACGCAGGCGAAGACCGAGAAGCAGCUUGGUAAUGGUAUCUCACGCACCACGCUAAUCUCAUUCUAAAUCCACCCUGCCCUCGCUAAAACCACUGUAACUGCGGUGCAUCUCAUCCCCCACACUAGAGAUGGCAAUGGGUAAAUACCCACCGGGUAUUAGUACCACAUACCCAUACCCACAACACAAAAAUAACCCCACCGGGUUACCCAUAUACACUGGCGGGUAUGGAUUUACCCCCAUACCCAUACCCAUGUGGGUAUGGGUCACCCAUCGAGUCAUCCGUACCCACAAAAAUUAAACAACUAUCAAAAUAUUAUACUAUACAAAUGUCAAGUAUAUCCAUAUAAAUACCAUUACAAAAUUUUCUAGCAUCAUUUAACCAUCCAUUCAACACACCAAAGAUAAUUGGAUAAAGUAGUAACACUAUGAUAGUACUAUAUAGCACAUUACAUGUUCCAUUACAUGGUCAUUAAAUUGUUGUUAAAUAGUAAAAAAGUUAGAUGACUAAAGUCCAAGUUCAUGAUUCGGAUAAGUUUAUAUUGGGUAUUUUAUACCCACGGGUUAGCGGGUAUGGGUGAAGGCAGAACGUUCUAAUACCCGUUUACCCAUUGGGUGAAGAUUUUUGCCCAAUAACAGACCCACGGGUAGAAUAUUUAGCCCACAUACAUACCCUAAUGGAGUAAAUACCCAUCGUGUAUCGGGUCGUGGGUACCCAUUGCCAUCUCUACCCCACACCCACUUUCCGCUACAGUUCACUCGUACCUUUUUCCGCUCUCCCCCUCUCCCUGCGCUGGAUCCACAAAAGCGGCGGCGGCCCCCUCGCCUGCCUCCGUCCGUCCGUCCAGCCGAGAUCCGCGCGCGGAGGCGGACCCCGGGUCGCCGCUCAGUCGUACUGCUCCUCAGAUUCGGUUGGUGCGCUUCGCACCCAGAUCCAAAUCUCAUCUCCCCCUCGCCUCGGCUUGCUUGUUUUGCUUGUUGCCUCCCCUGCUGAUCCGAACCCACCGUGUUUCCGGUUGCUUUUAGGUGUU